rnacentral:rRNA from 1 species
CCUACGGGAGGCAGCAGUGGGGAAUUUUCCGCAAUGGGCGAAAGCCUGACGGAGCAAGACCGCGUGAGGGAGGAAGGCUCUUGGGUUGUAAACCUCUUUUCUCUGGGAAGAAGUCCUGACGGUACCAGAGGAAUCAGCAUCGGCUAACUCCGUGCCAGCAGCCGCGGUAAUACGGAGGAUGCAAGCGUUAUCCGGAAUCAUUGGGCGUAAAGCGUCCGCAGGUGGACUGGUAAGUCUGCCGUCAAAGGACGGGGCUUAACCCCGUAAAGGCGGUGGAAAC